CCUACGGGGGGCAGCAGUGGGGAAUAUUGGGCAAUGGGCGCAAGCCUGACCCAGCAACGCCGCGUGAAGGAAGAAGGCUUUCGGGUUGUAAACUUCUUUUAUUGAGGACGAAACAAAUGACGGUACUCAAUGAAUAAGCCACGGCUAACUACGUGCCAGCAGCCGCGGUAAUACGUAGGUGGCAAGCGUUAUCCGGAUUUACUGGGUGGAAAGGGCGUGUAGGCGGGACUGCAAGUCAGAUGUGAAACCCAUGGGCUCAACCCAUGGCCUGCAUUUGAAAAUGGAGUUCCUGAGGGAUGGGAGGGCCGGGCGAAAUACGUGUGUAGCGGUGAAAUGCGUAGAUAUACGGAGGAACACCAGUGGCGAAGGCGGCCUGCUGGACAUUAACUGACGCUGAGGCGCGAAAGCGUGGGGAGCAAACAGGAUUAGAUACCCUAGUAGUC
rnacentral:rRNA from 1 species